GGGGAUGCAACGGUUUCGACAGGGAGGGAACGGGCCGGGCUGCGAGCCGGGGCGCCUGACCCCGUAAAAACGGGCGAUGCCAAUAAGUGGCAACACCUUUCAGCGCGCUCCUGUAGCGCUCGCCGCCUAAAGAACGGGCGGCGCGUCCUUCCGGACCUCGCCCCGGUGGGUUCGGCAAGGGCGUGGCCAAGCCGGGGUGCUCCUGUCCCGAACGCCGGCUGAGGACGGGAAAAGACGGAGCCGGCCGGCCGAGGGGAACCCGGUCGGUUGGGGUCCUCUCGGUGCAGAAGGAAAGAGCCGACUAGGCUCGUAGACGCCCGGUAGUGAACUCUCUGGACGGGGGUUCGAUUCCCCCCAUCUCCACCA
rnacentral:tmRNA from 1 species